GGGUGCGAUCAUACCAGCACUAAUGCACCGGAUCCCAUCAGAACUCCGAAGUUAAGCGUGCUAGGGCGAGCAUGAGAGUAGUACUAGGAUGGGUGACCCCCUGGGAAGUCUUCGUGUUGCACCCC
rnacentral:rRNA from 1 species